UCUCUAGUUCCAUUGAGAAUAACACAUGUUUUUUCCAUUCAAAUACCAAAACAAACAUAUAUUGUCCUUAAUUGAGUUUAACAACAAUGAAAUGGAGGAUCAAUUGAUGAGAUAUUUCAUAAGAAAAGUUCAAUCAACAAUUUGAUGGUUUCAAUAUCAAUGCAACUACUUCAUUACCAAAGAAAAAUCUGUAAAACAGACCAACCCUAUAACACACAUUUUGAUAACAAUGAGUGCAACUAUAGCAACUAUACACAUUGCAAAAACUCGGAUGAAGGCACAACAACUAGGAACAUUUAAAUUAUGGCUGCGAACAUUAGCAAUAACCAUUUAUUCAUCAUUCACUAUUUUAGGAAUCAAUAAGUGAAAGGAAUACAGAGGAGCCAGAAUGAAAAACCAAAUCUUUCAGCAAGUAGCAGCACACCCAUAUGUAAUUAUCAAUCCCGAGGUCCCAUUUAAUUGUGCUCCUUAUUGGAGUCGUUGCGAGCCAUACGCCGGACCUCUGAUGGAGGGAU
rnacentral:lncRNA from 1 species